rnacentral:rRNA from 1 species
UACGAAGGGGGCUAGCGUUGCUCGGAAUCACUGGGCGUAAAGCGCACGUAGGCGGCUUUCUAAGUCAGGGGUGAAAUCCCGGGGCUCAACCUCGGAACUGCCUUUGAUACUGCAAGUCUCGAGUCCGAUAGAGGUGAGUGGAAUUCCUAGUGUAGAGGUGAAAAUUCGUAGAUAUUAGGAAGAACACCAGUGGCGAAGGCGGCUCACUGGAUCGGUACUGACGCUGAGGUGCGAAAGCGUGGGGAGCAAACAGG